UACGUAGGGGGCUAGCGUUGUCCGGAAUCAUUGGGCGUAAAGCGCGCGUAGGCGGCCAGAUAAGUCCGGUGUGAAAGUCACAGGCUCAACCUGUGAAUGCCGCUGGAAACUGUCUGGCUUGAGUCCGGAAGGGGCGAGUGGAACUGCGAGUGUAGAGGUGAAAUUCGUAGAUAUUCGCAAGAACACCAGUGGCGAAGGCGGCUCACUGGUCCGGUUCUGACGCUGAGGCGCGAAAGCGUGGGGAGCAAACAGG
rnacentral:rRNA from 1 species